GCGUCAAUGAAGGGGGAGGUUAGCUUCCUGCGAAGUGAAAACAAACAUCCCAGCGAGGCAUGUGAGCUUCAUACUCCUGAGUCAGUCAAAAGCCCAGGAUCACAGCUUGGAGAUCAGACGUAUCAGUCUAAUCUGGGUAAGUGGCGACUUCGUCUUCUCUGGGCCAUUAAGCUCUUCUGGACUGCAGAGGGACAGGCUCCACAGAGGUGUCCUUAGGCUAACGAUGAGCAGACGUGGUCAUGGACCAGGCCUGACUACUUCCUGUUCCUUAUUGAAGCAACAACAGCACCAUGAGUUCUUCAGUGCGACAUGCAGGUCAGUCAGUAUCAAUGUACUGCCACUUGAUGCAGCAUAAGGCAUUUUCCUAAAAUGUUUGGAUUUUUCUUCUCCA